GGCACUUAGCCGUGCGGGAACAAUGGCAAGCCUUUAGCCCUAUUGGGAGCAGCAGUGGGUGCCUUGCUGGAUCAGAAGCAUGGCGGACACCCUUCAGGUGUCACUUCCAUCCAGAGGGAUGGAAGUCAGCCGCGGGUCUACGACGGCAGCAAACAGCAGUGGUGGAUGCAUUCUGUUGCUUAGAAGCAAGUCACAGGUCUGUACACACUUCUGGAGAGGAGAUUACAUGGGGUGUGAAUACCAGGAGGAUCUCUCACACUAGAAAGGCUUUUGCUUAAGGAUCCCUUAAGAUGUUUUGCAGAUCUUUUAUUCCAGCAACCAAUUUGAAGACCUUCCACAGAGGAACAGGAUCAGCAUGAGAAUAUGGCUUUUUCAUCUCCAGGUUCCAUGACCCUGUACUCUUUGACCAAUCAAUAAUGUCCAUGUUUUGGCCCAUUCUAAACCUUAAAAACCCGAAGUCCAAAUUCCUUAGAGAGAUAGAUUUAAAGUUUUUUCUCAUCUCCUUGUUAGGUGACCCUACAAUUAAAUCUUUCUCUGCUGC